ACAGUAUUAUUUUAUAAAUCAAAGUUGCGAAAUUUUUUUUUUAAACAGCCUGACCCACGUGACGUACAGACCCGCCACAAAUAUAAAUUUCUCUGCCCACAUGGACAGAGUCUCCUUUAUAUUUGCAUGGCGUAUCGAUAAAUAAAAUUAAAAGGAUUACAACUUACUACCUACAUUCACCAAAUCCACGGACAAUUUAUGCGAAGCAUUUACAUACAGCUAACCAUCCUUAAAAAUAAUGCAUCCCUCUUAGCACUCCUUAGGCACUAGAUGAUACGAUGCAUAAUACAACAAUUAUCCUAUUUAAAAGUGUUCCCAAUCCAGAGGCUUUGUUUUUAAAUUCUAAUUAUUUAUUAAUCAAAAACCAUUCUAAAAGCCGUUUGAAAAUUGUUUCCAACACGGAAAUUCAAUCGUUAAAAAUCAACUACCUCGAGGGGUAGAAAACCAAAUAACAAGAUUUCAAUGAAUGAUAUACUAAAAAUCUUGAAAAACUCCGAGUUCAUACAUAAUAGAAAUCUUAAAUUUAUACAAAUCCACAAUUAUUAUUCAACCAAUAAUAAACGAUCAUCUAACUGAACCGAUUGUUUAGUCUACUAAAAGAAGUAAAAGGGGGAAGGAACCAGGGUAAGAACUACUAAUGCGAUCUAGCUGUACCAUUCUCAUAUACUGUCCCAACCCUCACUAUCCGCAUCACCUAAAAAUUGGUGGGGGUGAGAAUAUGUAAACACAUCUCCCCUCCCAGUGGGUACCGCAAGCCGACGAAGGCGAGUUGUACUCACCGGCAAAAGAAGAGAUAAUCAAAAUAAUGAACA
rnacentral:lncRNA from 1 species